GACGAACGCUGGCGGCGUGCUUAACACAUGCAAGUCGAACGGAAAGGCCCCCUUGUGGGGUACUCGAGUGGCGAACGGGUGAGUAACACGUGAGUAACCUACCCUUGACUUUGGGAUAACUUCAGGAAACUGGGGCUAAUACCGGAUAGGAGCUCCUGCUGCAUGGUGGGGGUUGGAAAGUUUCGGCGGUGGGGGAUGGACUCGCGGCUUAUCAGCUUGUUGGUGGGGUAGUGGCUCACCAAGGCUUUGACGGGUAGCCGGCCUGAGAGGGUGACCGGCCACAUUGGGACUGAGAUACGGCCCAGACUCCUACGGGAGGCAGCAGUGGGGAAUAUUGCACAAUGGGCGGAAGCCUGAUGCAGCAACGCCGCGUGCGGGAUGACGGCCUUCGGGUUGUAAACCGCUUUCGCCUGUGACGAAGCGUGAGUGACGGUAAUGGGUAAAGAAGCACCGGCUAACUACGUG
rnacentral:rRNA from 1 species